rnacentral:rRNA from 1 species
GACGAACGCUGGCGGCGUGCCUAAUACAUGCAAGUAGAACGCUGAAGAGAGGAGCUUACUCUUCUUGGAUGAGUUGCGAACGGGUGAGUAACGCGUAGGUAACCUGCCUUGUAGCGGGGGAUAACUAUUGGAAACGAUAGCUAAUACCGCAUAACAAUGGAUGACACAUGUCAUUUAUUUGAAAGGGGCAAUUGCUCCACUACAAGAUGGACCUGCGUUGUAUUAGCUAGUAGGUGAGGUAAUGGCUCACCUAGGCGACGAUACAUAGCCGACCUGAGAGGGUGAUCGGCCACACUGGGACUGAGACACGGCCCAGACUCCUACGGGAGGCAGCAGUAGGGAAUCUUCGGCAAUGGGGGCAAACCUGACCGAGCAACGCCGCGUGAGUGAAGAAGGUUUUCGGAUCGUAAAGCUCUGUUGUAAGUCAAGAACGGGUGUGAGAGUGGAAAGUUCACACUGUGACGGUAGCUUACCAGAAAGGGACGGCUAACUACGUG